UUCUGCUCUGAUCUGGUCUCUCUAGUCCUUUUCCAGCCUGGCUGGUGGGAGCUGCUGCCACUUCUACCUGGCUAGCCUGGGCUGAAGCGCUGCUGACCGCCCCAAAAGAGUACAGCUGCAGCAGAAGGUAAUAACAGCAAUAAGCACUACACAGAACUCGGAGCCAGAUGAAGACAAAAAAGGAGUGAAGCUGCUAACAAAGUAGCUUUUGAAGUUAAAGUUGCACAAGACAACUUCAAUCAACCAGUGGAAUAUGCCUGCCCCCCCACCGCACGUGAACAGCAAUAUUAGGUGGAAAGUUUACUUAUAAAAAAUACCAGCACUUAUGGUAGAUGAGGUGACAUCAGGGUAAAAAAACAAUUCCAUCUGUAUGAAACAGCACAUACAAUAACCCAGGAAACAGGAAACAUCUACAAACAAAAGCUUUCAGACAAAGUUACUUUGGAUAAAGAAGUAUUGAAAAAAAGCGGAGGUCUUUUUGAGCAUCGGCUUUACAUACUUUCCUCAGAUCACUUUAUAAAUCUGCUGUGCAUUAGAAAUCAGACACAUAUGUAUUUCUUUUAAAGUAAA